UUAAGUUCAGCGGGUAGUCCUACCUGAUUUGAGAUCAAACGUUCACAAAGCUGUCUUCACUGAGGAGAGACAUUUAUGAGCCCCAGCGAAUCCCCAUUACUGAGGAUUACCUGGCAGAAAACCACAAGCGUAGAUAGUUAUCACACCCGUGAUGCUGCCAAACACUGGAAAGCUGAUUUAUUUGAGAGGAGCUAACCAUA
rnacentral:misc_RNA from 1 species